GAGAGUGCAUCAGCGACAACGUUGUCAGAACCCUUAAUAUGCUGGAUCGUUAAAUUGUACCCCUGUACAAUCAACGCCCACCGCAUCAACCGCCUGUUGCUGUUAUACAUCCUGCCGAGGAAAACUAGAGGAUUAUGAUCGGUGUACACUGUCACAGAACUGCUCCUGCACCCAUGCUACUGGCGUCGACUUCCAGCUUGAAGGGCGUGCUGGAAUCAGGAGCUGCUAAAACUGGGGAGGCACAAAGAAGAGCUUUAGCAGAUUCGAAUGCUUGUUGGCACUCUGCCGACCAUGCAUAUUGCACUUUCGGACUCAGUAAUGAGGGAUGCAUUCUGAUGGGCUUGGAGUCUUCUACAUCAAUGUCAUGCUCCAACACUGUUGUCCGACUGGGAACGUCCUGAAAAAGGCCGGGAAAAGCAUGGAUCAGGACAAACCUCUGUGACCAGAACUCCAGCCACCGGACCUUGAGCAACAUUAUGGCUGGACCCACUUGGAUGUACAGGUUUGUUUUUGUCC